GGCCGUGCUGGUGCAAAGAUCCUUUUCUGCUGGGCGUGUGGGCAUGAUCUUUAUCGGGGGUCCCCAGCUUCCAGAAAAUUUACUUUGAAAAAAUUUCAGUGCUAAAAGAAGGGUCACGCCUAUCUAUAUAGCAUAUAGUAAUGAAAUAAGAUCUCGAUUUUAUUUCUUUGGUUUUGGAAAUUGAGAUAAUGAUUAAUAGGAUCACAGGGGGGCGUACGUUCUGCGCCGCGAGAGGUGAAAUUCUAGGAUCGCCACAGGGCGAACAGCUGCCAACGCUUUCGCCAAGAAUGUUUUCAUUAUUCUAGAACGAAAGUUUGAGGUCUGAAGAAGAUUAUAUACCGUCUUAGUUCAAACCAUCCGUGUUGCCCAAAUGUUUUUGAGUUGCGGGGGAUUUAUGGACUCAAUCUAGCGGCUCUCGAGAAAUUUAAGUUUUUCACCUCCGGGGGAAGAACGGGCGCAAAAUUGAAACUUAACAGAAUUCCCCUCCCCACACCCAAGCCAGUGGCAGGUGUGACAUAAUCAUAGCAACUCGGGAAACCGUGCUCGGCCAGGACACUCCUAGGAUUGACAGAGGGAGAAUUUUUUCUUGAUUAUGUGGGUGGUGGUGCAACCGCCUCGUAGUUCGAGACCGAUUUGUAUGUUUCAUUUGGAUAUCGAACGAGACCCCGGCUUACGAAAUAGUGUCAAGUUUGAAGGGAGUUUACAAUCAUUUUUUGCAGGAUAAGCGGCACUU
rnacentral:rRNA from 1 species